rnacentral:antisense_RNA from 1 species
CGAGGCCCAGCAGAAAAGACAGCGCGCUGACCGCCCAGAGGAACAGCAUCAGCAGGGACUUCUCUGUGGGCCGCGACACGUAGCAGUCCACCACGCCCGUGCACGGAGGGCGCGUGCAAGGGAACUUCUUCGGGGCCAGGAAUCCAAAGAGAAAGUAGUGCAAGGCCCCGAAGGCUGCCUCCAGCAGGGUCCGGAGGAGGAGGUGGAUGAUGUAGCCGGCCGAAAAGUCGGGCACCUGGAGGCCGCCGCCCUCCCCGCAUGGCCGCGGGCAGCGUCUCUGCCCGGAGGCCGGCUCCCGGGGGUCGGGGCAGCGGCGGGGGCCCAGCGCGGCGAGCGUGGCUCCUCGGUGCAGGACAUAGACGCUGAAGACGGCGGAGGGGAGGAGGACGCACACGCCCUGGAUCAGCCAGAACCGCAGGUGAGACACGGGGGAGAAGACGUCGUAGCAAACAUUGGCGCAUCCUGGCUGCAGCGUGUUGCAGACAAACCUCUCCUGCUCGUCCUGGUAGACGGGUCGCCCCGCCAAGACAAUCACCAGCAUCCGCAGCAGCAUCGUGAGGACGAACCAGAGCUUUCCUGGAAGAGAGGAAGCGGGCAUGGCCUCAUCACCCGGAAUACACUGCCCUGAGUAACAGCUUUAAAGUUUCUAUUGGGGCUGAGACUGGGAAAUUGAAACGUCAAUAAGCAUGUCUUUAGUUUUCUGUUUGUUUGUGUUGUCGUUGUUGUUGUUGUUGGACACAGGGUCGUGCUAUAUUGCCCAGGCUGGUCUUGAACUCCUGGCCUCAAGUGCUCCUGCCGCCUUGGCCUCUUGAGUAGCUGGGAUUACAGGCAUGAGCCACCACACCUGUCAGCUUAUCUUUACUCACAGCAAGAGCAUCAGGUAGUUCAUUUGACAAAUAUUUACUGAGCACUGAACAUCCUUGUUUGUAAGAUGCUUCAAGAUGAGUAGAUUUUUAAAAAGCAUUAUAUUAAAAGUGUUUUAAUCUGUCUGCUAAUUCAGACUUUUGGUAAUGUCUCCUGGACUGAUAGGUCCAGAAAGAAAGUUUGGCUGAGCAAAUUAAUGAUUUAAAUAAGAUUUAAAUUUUCUUCUUAGGAGAAUAAGCCUUUUAAAAGAGGUUGGUGUAUUUCUGUAACUGCCAAUUCGAGCUGCUGAUUUCAGUAAAUCUUCUUACUUAUGACAACAGUCCAGGGAUCUCUAUUUAAUCACAGGGCUUGUAUUUAAUGUUAGUCUACGGCCCUUGAAAUUGAAUUUCUUUAUGAACAUUCCAUUUUUCAGAUUUUUUAAUCAUUCAGAAUUCCUCUUCCCCUUUUCCAGUUAUUAGGAAUGAAUGGGGCUUGUCUUUCUUCAAUGUAUCGUGAAAGAAUGACACCAAGCUAGAAAACCAAAAUAACUGUCAAGCCCUAUUUUCAUGGCACCGGCCAACUGUUUCGAAACAUGUUUAAAACUCAGCCAAAAUAACUUGUGAAUAUUGUGUUUUGUGAUGAGAGAAACAUCGCCUGACAUCAUAAAAACAAAACAAAAAUAAAUAUAUAAAGACAGUCAAACAAAGAAUGAUAUCAUUAUGUGAUGAGUCAUUGAGUUGAACUUUUAACAUCAAGUUGGUUUUGUCUAAAUCUAUAAAAUAAUGAGCCAGAAAAGUAUCAACUGCAUCUCCGGCAUAUAUUCAUCCUUUUCUGACCCCCAUACCUCUCUGAAAAUGUGAGUCAUCUGCAUUAAACAAAAAUCUAUUAUUUUCUUUGUUAAAAAAAAUAACUAAACUUGGGAUUUGGUUUAAAGUGCACAAGAGAAAUGGCUACUCCUUAAAAAUUAAGCUUCCAGGCCAGGCGUGGUAACUCACGCCUGUAAUCCCAGCACUUUGGGAAGCCAAGGCGGGUGGCUCACGAGGUCAGGAGAUCGAGACCAUCCUGGCUAACACGGUGAAACCCCAUCUCUACUAAAAACACAGAAAAUUAGCUGGGCGUGGUGGCAGGCGCCUGUAGUCCCGGCUACUCGGGAGGCUGAGGCAGGAGAAUCACUUGAACCCGGGAGGCAGAGGUUGCAGUGAGCUGAGAUUGCAUCACUGCACUCCAGCCUGGGCAACAGAGUGAGACUCUGUCUCCAAAAACAAAAAGAAAAUCAAGCUUCCAGGAUAAAACCUAAAGGUAUCACUUUCUGAUUAA